AGAGUUUGAUCCUGGCUCAGGAUGAACGCUGGCGGCGUGCUUAACACAUGCAAGUCGAACGGUGAAGCCCAGCUUGCUGGGUGGAUCAGUGGCGAACGGGUGAGUAACACGUGAGCAAUCUGCCCCUGACUCUGGGACAAGCGCUGGAAACGGCGUCUAAUACUGGAUAUGAACCGUGGAGGCAUCUUCAACGGUUGGAAAGAUUUUUUGGUCAGGGAUGAGCUCGCGGCCUAUCAGCUUGUUGGUGAGGUAAUGGCUCACCAAGGCGUCGACGGGUAGCCGGCCUGAGAGGGUGACCGGCCACAC
rnacentral:rRNA from 1 species